rnacentral:piRNA from 1 species
UAAAACUGGCCCGAGACUUUCCCAUUAACCC